AGAUAAAAAAUGAAAUAUUUGGCUUUCUCAUGAUUGACCAACUGCAGCGAGGUUUUAACUGACACUUUAUUUCUUCAGACAGUAUGGAGGAGGAGAAGGCUGAACAGGGUGACGAAUUAGAUGAGUUUAUACAAUCUGGCAGAACAGGCCGCAGAAAUGCUGUGGCUGAGGUGGAAGGCACAGAACUAAAGGAUGCUGGAGAUGGGGAAGUGG